rnacentral:misc_RNA from 1 species
AAAAAAAGUAAUAAUUGAUUAAUUUUGUGGAUAGGCGUGGGAGCCCAUGGCGAUGGGUAAGUAAGUGCUGGAGAGUAUUGACAAUAAUACUAAUAUACGCACCCGAAGGAGAAUGAGUGACGUGUAACAAUCGUAAUUGUGUUAGAGGACAAGAACAGCUGGUUGUUUCCCUCUAUAUACCCUCUCGGCUUCUCCCAAUCAAUUGUGUAUGCACUUACGGAAAUUAAUCGUGCGUUACUAAAUUAUUUUCUUAUUUUAUUUACUUAUUAUGGUUUUACUCUAAUAAUUAUAAAAUUUAUAUAUAUUUUUUUGGUUUUGGCCGUGGAUUUCUAUGGUGGAAAACGCAAGGCUCAGCUGGAAAAACAAACAGAAAGUACCUCUCCCUUCUCUCUCUCUCCUCUGCUAUCAGCUUGUGUCUCUGUUCUGCUUCUAUCGCCCUCUCUCAGAGGCCAAUAGCUAGAGAUAUAGAGCGCGCAGAGAGACGGAGAGGGAGAGGUGGGAGACCAGAGCGCAGCAAAGCACCGGGGCCUGAUUCAGCGCCCUGGUUUGGUUUCAUGGAUUCAUCUAUUUUCUCUCUCCUGUAAGGUCGCUUCGUUCCCACGGCAUUUCUGCUUUCAAACAGACGAAAAUAUCGAUUCGUGCUUCUUUCUUGGGUUUUAAUCUCUCCAUUUCUCAUCUCCACAGCUCAAUCUGGCAGACCUUAAAGGAACCAUUGCGUUGCUUCGAUCCUUUCUUUUCUCCUUCUUGCCAGAUCUCGUCGAUUUCAAAUCUAAGAAAAAGAAGAGGAGAGGGAUUUACCGUGGGAAAAUGCUCUGGAUUAUGCGUUUCUCAGGCUUCUUUUCUGCAGCUAUGAUCAUGAUUAUCCUCUCACCCUCUCUCCAGUCCUUCUCUCCUGCUGAGGCCAUUCGAUCUUCUCACCUCGACAGCUUCUUGGGAAAUCUUGCCGCCUAUUCGCCGGACCGAUUCUCCUUUCGAAAAGCGGCUGUAUUCCGCAAUGCCGAUAAAUGUAGCUCCAGUGAUAACCUAAUCUCAGGGAAUACCGGUGUCUGCGAUCCUAACUUGGUACACGUUGCCAUUACACUCGAUGUUGAGUAUCUCCGGGGGUCAAUCGCCGCUGUACACUCCAUAUUGCAGCAUUCAUUGUGUCCAGAGAGUGUUUUCUUUCACUUUUUGGUUUCGGAGACCAAUCUGGAAUACCUAGUGCGGUCUACUUUCCCUCAAUUGAAGUUCAAGGUGUAUUAUUUCGAUCCAGAUAUUGUGCGAAAUCUGAUCUCCACUUCCGUUAGGCAAGCUCUUGAACAGCCGCUCAAUUACGCUAGGAAUUACUUGGCUGAUCUGCUGGAGCCUUGCGUUCGUAGAGUGAUCUACUUGGACUCCGAUUUGGUUGUGGUUGAUGAUAUUGCAAAGCUGUGGACUACGAAUUUGGGUUCUAGAACAAUCGGUGCCCCGGAAUACUGCCACGCAAACUUCACGAAAUAUUUCACGGCGAGUUUCUGGUCGAAUACAAGGUUUUCCAGUACUUUUAGUGGUAGGAAAUCGUGCUACUUCAACACUGGAGUAAUGGUGAUAGAUCUGGCAAAGUGGAGACGGGUUGGGUACACAAAGCGGAUUGAGAGGUGGAUGGAGAUCCAGAAGAGUGACCGGAUUUAUGAGCUGGGGUCACUGCCGCCGUUCCUCUUGGUUUUUGCCGGACACGUGGCGCCGAUCGAGCACCGGUGGAACCAACACGGAUUAGGUGGUGAUAAUGUGAGAGGCAGCUGUCGUGAUCUGCAUCCAGGUGCAGUUAGCCUUCUACAUUGGUCCGGCAGUGGCAAGCCCUGGCUCAGGAUCGACUCGAGGCAACCUUGCCCGCUUGAUGCUUUAUGGGCUCCAUACGACUUGUACGGACACUCACAUUGAAUCGCAGUAGUCGCCGACGGUGGAGUGCAAUGACCAAAAAGGUGGAGGGGGGCAUGUGAUGUGAGCGAAGUUGCUAGUCGGUUGUCCAUUUUGUGUAAUGGCCGAAAAGAACCGAGUGCUCGUCUUCCAAAGCAAAGGAGUGUGGUGCUGGCUGGCUGGAGGAAAAGCUUGAAUUAGCAAUCGGAAGAAUCUAAGAGGUGGUGAUAGUAGCAAAGUCAUGCCGACGGGAGUGUAUAGUUUUUGGAUGGUGUUGUAUUCGUUGGCGGCAGCGGAAGGCUUGUGAACAACCUCAUUAUUUGUCCCUCUGCACAAUUUAGUGUUGUUCUGGAUGAAUCUACCAUGCGUGAUCGAAUUAAUAAUAUAUUUAUAGUUUAUCCAGCUAACAAAUAAGGCCAUUAGAAAUUAUUAAUAUUAUUUUUGGGUUUAAUAGAUGUUAGGAUGUUGAACAAUCGAAACUUAAUUGCAGCAUUGAAAGGGACCCAAAAUUUAUUAUUUGUUGCGUGGGAACUGUCCAAAGUUGAGGUGGGAACCGAUUCCUUCUGCCCUGGCAUCACACGUGGCCAUUUGCUUCCUGGAAUCAGCUGCGUAACAUGUGGUCUUAAACUCUUUAGUUUAUAACACCAUUGGAUUGUAUUUAAUUGUUGAUCUGUUAACUCACCAGUUUUAUGCUCUGGUUCUACGUUGUUGGAUGCUUUUAAUCGUAUUGCCUUCCGAUUGUUAAGGCUGCCGAGAUAAACUUAAUUAAUUUGUUAGGAAAACUGAUUAGGACUUGGCAACAGCCUCUCAGCUGUGAAAUCAUAAAGAUAUCAAUCUGAACUUGACAGAUUUGUCUUGGCUAAUUGUUCUAAUCUCAUGCCAAAAUAAUUGUUUUAAAUUUUAAUCAUUAAGUAGGGUUAGAUGGUUCCAGAAUGCAAAUGGAUUAGCCGGGCAAUGAUACG